rnacentral:ncRNA from 1 species
GAUACUUAGCACUCCCCUUGAUAAGGAUGGAAGAGGCCCAGUGGCCAGUCUGGCACAAACCACGACAGUCAUCAAACCAUCAACUCUUUUU